rnacentral:rRNA from 1 species
GAUGAACGCUGGCGGCGUGCCUAAUACAUGCAAGUCGAGCGAACAGACGAGGAGCUUGCUCCUCUGACGUUAGCGGCGGACGGGUGAGUAACACGUGGAUAACCUACCUAUAAGACUGGGAUAACUUCGGGAAACCGGAGCUAAUACCGGAUAAUAUAUUGAACCGCAUGGUUCAAUAGUGAAAGACGGUUUUGCUGUCACUUAUAGAUGGUUCCGCGCCGCAUUAGCUAGUUGGUAAGGUAACGGCUUACCAAGGCAACGAUGCGUAGCCGACCUGAGAGGGUGAUCGGCCACACUGGAACUGAGACACGGUCCAGACUCCUACGGGAGGCAGCAGUAGGGAAUCUUCCGCAAUGGGCGAAAGCCUGACGGAGCAACGCCGCGUGAGUGAUGAAGGUCUUCGGAUCGUAAAACUCUGUUAUUAGGGAAGAACAAAUGUGUAAGUAACUAAGCACGUCUUGACGGUACCUAAUCAGAAAGCCACGGCUAACUACGUG